AGGGUGCAGGGCGGAUGCCUUGGCACUAGGAGCCGAUGAAGGACGUGAUAAGCUGCGAUAAGCUUCGGGGAGUUGCACGUAAACUUUGAUCCGAAGAUUUCCGAAUGAGGAAACUCACUUAGAGUAAUGUCUAAGUAUCAUUAAGUGAAUACAUAGCUUAAUGAGGGGAACUCAGGGAACUGAAACAUCUAAGUACCUGAAGGAAGAGAAAGAAAUUCGAUUCCGUAAGUAGCGGCGAGCGAACGCGGAUUAGCCCAAACCAAUAAAGUUUUCUUUAUUGGGGUUGCGGACAUAUCAUAACGAAGAGGUAUCGUAAUUGAAGAGGUUUGGAAAGACCCACCACAGAAGGUAAUAGUCCUGUAUGUUAAACGAGAAGACUUCAGAUAUGAUCCAGAGUACCACGGGACACGUGAAACCCUGUGGGAAGCAGGAGGGACCACCCUCCAAGGCUAAAUACUACCUAGUGACCGAUAGCGUAUAGUACCGUGAGGGAAAGGUGAAAAGAACCCCGGGAGGGGAGUGAAAUAGAACCUGAAACCCUGCACUUACAAGCUGUGGAAGCACAUUUCUUGUGUGACCGCGUACUUUUUGUAGAACGGGCCAACGAGUUACGUUAAGUAGCAAGGUUAAGCACUUAAGGUGCGGAGCCGUAGCGAAAGCGAGUUUUAACUGAGCGUUCAGUUACUUGACGUAGACCCGAAACCGGGCGACCUACCCAUGAGCAGGAUGAAGCGAAAGUAAAAUUUCGUGGAGGUCCGAACCCACGAGCGUUGAAAAGCUCGGGGAUGACUUGUGGGUAGCGGUGAAAUUCCAAUCGAGCCCGGAGAUAGCUGGUUCUCCCCGAAAUAGCUUUAGGGCUAGCCUCAAGGUGAGAGAUACGGAGGUAGAGCACUGAAUGUCCUAGGGGGUAUUGCACCUACCGAAGACUAUCAAACUCCGAAUGCCGUCAUCUUAUACUUGGGAGUCAGACUGUGGGUGAUAAGAUUCAUAGUCGAAAGGGCAACAGCCCAGAUCGUCAGCUAAGGUCCCUAAAUGUAAGUUAAGUGGUAAAGGAUGUGGGAUUGCACAGACAACCAGGAUGUUGGCUUAGAAGCAGCCACUCAUUCAAAGAGUGCGUAAUAGCUCACUGGUCGAGUGAUCCUGCGCCGAAGAUUUCCGGGGCUAAAACUUACUACCGAAGCUACGGCAUCAGUAAUGAUGGGUAGGGGAGCUUCCCAUACGGGUUGAAGCAUGACCGUAAGGACAUGUGGACAGUAUGGGAGUGAGAAUGUUGGCAUGAGUAGCGAGAUGUGGGUGAGAAUCCCACAGGCCGUAAACCCAAGGUUUCCAGGGGAAGGUUCGUCCGCCCUGGGUUAGUCGGGACCUAAGCUGAGGCCGAAAGGCGUAGGUGAUGGACAACAGGUUGAUAUUCCUGUACUACCGAUAACCGUUUGAGAGAAGGGAUGACACAGUAGGAUAAGCUAAGCACACUGUUGGUUAUGUGUGCCCAAGCAUUGAGGCAGUCAAAGUAGGCAAAUCCGCUUUGAUAAUGCUGGGAUGUGAUGGGGAGCGAAAUUUAGUAGCGAAGUAGCUGAUUUCACACUGUCAAGAAAAGUCUCUAUCGAGGUUAAAGGUACCCGUACCGCAAACCGACACAGGUGGGUGAGGAGAGUAUCCUAAGGCCAGCGAGAGAACUGUUGUUAAGGAACUCGGCAAAAUGACCCCGUAACUUAGGGAUAAGGGGUGCCACCAUCAGGUGGCCGCAGAGAAUAGGCCCAAGCGACUGUUUACCAAAAACAUAGGUUUCUGCUAAGUCGCAAGACGAUGUAUAGGAGCUGACGCCUGCCCGGUGCUGGAAGGUUAAGGGGAUCUGUUAGAGCAAUCGAAGCAGUGAACUUAAGCCCCAGUAAACGGCGGCCGUAACUAUAACGGUCCUAAGGUAGCGAAAUUCCUUGUCGGGUAAGUUCCGACCCGCACGAAAGGCGUAACGAUUUGGGCACUGUCUCAACAACAGACUCGGUGAAAUUGUAAUUCCGGUGAAGAUGCCGGAUACCUGCGACAGGACGGAAAGACCCCAUGGAGCUUUACUGUAGCUUGACAUUGGGUCUUGGUACUACAUGUACAGGAUAGGUGGGAGGCUUUGAAACCAGGACGCCAGUUUUGGCGGAGCCAUCCUUGGGAUACCACCCUUGUAGUACUGGGACUCUAACCAUAGGCCAUGAAUCUGGUCUUGGGACACUGUCA
rnacentral:rRNA from 1 species